rnacentral:rRNA from 1 species
AUCCUGGCUCAGAUUGAGCGCUGGCGGCAUGCUUUACACAUGCAAGUCGAACGGUAACAGGGAGCUUGCUCCGCUGACGAGUGGCGAACGGGUGAGUAAUGCAUCGGAACGUACCCAGUCGUGGGGGAUAACGUAGCGAAAGUUACGCUAAUACCGCAUACGUCCUGAGGGAGAAAGCGGGGGGACCGAAAGGCCUCGCGCGAUUGGAGCGGCCGAUGUCGGAUUAGCUAGUUGGUAGGGUAAAGGCCUACCAAGGCGACGAUCCGUAGCGGGUCUGAGAGGAUGAUCCGCCACACUGGGACUGAGACACGGCCCAGACUCCUACGGGAGGCAGCAGUGGGGAAUUUUGGACAAUGGGCGCAAGCCUGAUCCAGCCAUGCCGCGUGAGUGAAGAAGGCCUUCGGGUUGUAAAGCUCUUUCAGGUGGAAAGAAAACGCAUGGGUCAAUACCCUGUGUGGAUGACGGUACCAUCAGAAGAAGCACCGGCUAACUACGUG